rnacentral:rRNA from 1 species
AGAGGGGGACCUUCGGGCCUCUUGCCAUCGGAUGUGCCCAGAUGGGAUUAGCUAGUAGGUGGGGUAACGGCUCACCUAGGCGACGAUCCCUAGCUGGUCUGAGAGGAUGACCAGCCACACUGGAACUGAGACACGGUCCAGACUCCUACGGGAGGCAGCAGUGGGGAAUAUUGCACAAUGGGCGCAAGCCUGAUGCAGCCAUGCCGCGUGUAUGAAGAAGGCCUU